rnacentral:rRNA from 1 species
UACAGGGGGUGCAAACGUUGCUCGGAAUCAUUGGGCGUAAAGCGCACGUAGGCGGUCUGUUAUGUCGGAUGUGAAAGCCCUUGGCUUAACUGAGGAAGUGCAUCCGAAACUGGCAGGCUAGAGUACUAAAGAGGGUCGCGGAAUUCCAGGUGUAGCGGUGAAAUGCGUAGAUAUCUGGAGGAACACCGGUGGCGAAGGCGGCAUCCUGGACCGAGAUUGACGCUGAUGCGCGAAAGCCAGGGGAGCAAACGGG